UCGUGGGGCAGCAUGACUGUAGCAAUACAGUUGAUGGCGACCGGCAAACGGGUGCGGAACACGUACACAACCUUCCUUUUAGUGGAGAAUAGCCCAGGGAAACUUGGAUUAAUACUCCGUAACAUAUAGAAGUGGCAUCACUUUUAUAUUAAAGCAGCAAUGCGCUAGAAGAUGGGUGUGCGGCUGAUUAGAUAGUUGGCGGGGUAACGGCCCACCAAGUCGACGAUCAGUAACUGGUGUGAGAGCACGACCAGUCACACGGGCACUGAGACACGGGCCCGACUCCUACGGGAGGCAGCAGUAAGGAAUAUUGGUCAAUGGACGCAAGUCUGAACCAGCCAUGCCGCGUGGAGGAUGAAGGUCCUCUGGAUUGUAAACUUCUUUUAUCUGGGAAGAAAUCCAUUUUUUCUAAAAUGGUUGACGGUACCAGAUGAAUAAGCACCGGCUAACUCCGUGCCAGCAGCCGCGGUAAUACGGAGGGUGCAAGCGUUAUCCGGAUUCACUGGGUUUAAAGGGUGCGUAGGUGGGCAAGUAAGUCAGUGGUGAAAUCUCCGGGCUUAACCCGGAAACUGCCAUUGGUACUAUUUGUCUUGAAUACUGUGGAGGUCAGCGGAAUAUGUCAUGUAGCGGUGAAAUGCUUAGAUAUGACAUAGAACACCAAUUGCGAAGGCAGCUGGCUACACAAAUAUUGACACUGAGGCACGAAAGCGUGGGGAUCAAACAGGAUUAGAUACCCUGGUAGUCCACGCCCUAAACUAUGGAUACUCGACAUUUGCGAUAAACUGC
rnacentral:rRNA from 1 species